AUUGAACGCUGGCGGCAGGCUUAACACAUGCAAGUCGAGCGGAGAUGAGGUGCUUGCACCUUAUCUUAGCGGCGGACGGGUGAGUAAUGCUUAGGAAUCUGCCUAUUAGUGGGGGACAACAUUCCGAAAGGAAUGCUAAUACCGCAUACGCCCUACGGGGGAAAGCAGGGGAUCUUCGGACCUUGCGCUAAUAGAUGAGCCUAAGUCGGAUUAGCUAGUUGGUGGGGUAAAGGCCUACCAAGGCGACGAUCUGUAGCGGGUCUGAGAGGAUGAUCCGCCACACUGGGACUAGGACACGGCCCAGACUCCUACGGGAGGCAGCAGUGGGGAAUAUUGGACAAUGGGCGGAAGCCUGAUCCAGCCAUGCCGCGUGUGUGAAGAAGGCCUUUUGGUUGUAAAGCACUUUAAGCGAGGAGGAGGCUACCUGGAUUAAUACUCUAGGAUAGUGGACGUUACUCGCAGAAUAAGCACCGGCUAACUCUGUGCCAGCAGCCGCAGUAACAC
rnacentral:rRNA from 1 species